rfam:Gossypium hirsutum cultivar TM-1 chromosome 1, whole genome shotgun sequence
AUUCUGUGAUAAGGGCACUUCCUUAAUAACAACUUAAAACAUUCCCAUGCUUCGUAUAGGUUCUCGCCCUCGAUUUGCUUGAAAUUGGCGAUGUCACGUCUUAAUU